CCCUUAGAUGUCCGGGGCCGCACGCGCGCUACACUGAAGGAAUCAGCGUGGCUUUCUCCCUGACCCGAAAGGGUUGGGAAACCCGUUGAAUCUCCUUCGUGAUAGGGAUUGGGGCUUGAAAUUGUUCCCCAUGAACGAGGACUUCCCAGUAAGCGCGAGUCAUAAGCUCGCGUUGAUUACGUCCCUGCCCUUUGUACACACCGCCCGUCGCUACUACCGAUUGAACGGUUUAGUGAGGGCCUCGGAUUGGUCUCGGCCCGCUCUUUACCGGGCGGCGCCGUUGGUCGAGAAGACGCUCGAACUUGAUCGUUUAGAGGAAGUAAAAGUCGUAACA
rnacentral:rRNA from 1 species